GAUGAACGCUGGCGGCGUGCCUAAUACAUGCAAGUCGAGCGAAUGGAUUAAGAGCUUGCUCUUAUGAAGUUAGCGGCGGACGGGUGAGUAACACGUGGGUAACCUGCCCAUAAGACUGGGAUAACUCCGGGAAACCGGGGCUAAUACCGGAUAACAUUUUGAACCGCAUGGUUCGAAAUUGAAAGGCGGCUUCGGCUGUCACUUAUGGAUGGACCCGCGUCGCAUUAGCUAGUUGGUGAGGUAACGGCUCACCAAGGCAACGAUGCGUAGCCGACCGGAGAGGGUGAUCGGCCGCACUGGGACUGAGACACGGCCCAGACUCCUACGGGAGGCAGCAUUAGGGAAUCUUCCGCAAUGGACGAAAGUCUGACGGAGCAACGCCGCGUGAGUGAUGAAGGCUUUCGGGUCGUAAAACUCUGUUGUUAGGGAAGAACAAGUGCUAGUUGAAUAAGCUGGCACCUUGACGGUACCUAACCAGAAAGCCACGGCUAACUACGUGCCAGCCGCCGCCGUAA
rnacentral:rRNA from 1 species